rnacentral:rRNA from 1 species
UACAGAGGUCUCAAGCGUUGUUCGGAUUCAUUGGGCGUAAAGGGUGCGUAGGCGGCGCGGUAAGUCGGGUGUGAAAUCUCGGAGCUUAACUCCGAAACUGCAUUCGAUACUGCCGUGCUUGAGGACUGGAGAGGAGAGUGGAAUUCCCGGUGUAGCGGUGAAAUGCGUAGAGAUCGGGAGGAAUACCGGUGGCGAAAGCGACUCUCUGGACGGCAACUGACGCUGAGGCACGAAAGCGUGGGGAGCAAACAGG